rnacentral:rRNA from 1 species
UAAGACGAACCGUGCGAACGUUGUUCGGAAUCACUGGGCAUAAAGGGCGCGUAGGCGGCUUAUCAAGUCAGGGGUGAAAUCCGGCAGCUCAACUGUCGAAGUGCCUUUGAUACUGAUGAGCUCGAGGGAGGUAGGGGUAUGCGGAACUUCCGGUGGAGCGGUGAAAUGCGUUGAUAUCGGAAGGAACGCCGGUGGCGAAAGCGGCGUACUGGACCUCUUCUGACGCUGAGGCGCGAAAGCUAGGGGAGCAAACGGGAUUAGAUACCCCGGUAGUCCUAGCCCUAAACGUUGGGUACUAGAUAGUGGACUUACAUGGGUUCACUGUCGAAGCAAAUGUGUUAAGUACCCCGCCUGGGGAGUAUGGUCGCAAGGCUG